GACCUCAGAUCAGGCGAGACCACCCGCCGAAUUUAAGCAUAUCAAUAAGCGGAGG
rnacentral:rRNA from 1 species